AGCACCCUGCGCAUCGGAACAGAUUCCUCCAUCAGGGAAAGGAGAAGGGGCAAAUUAUCUGUUGAAGACUUGAAGUGUUGGUUUGAGGUGUAAGAGGUGUGUGCGUCACCUGCAGUCUUUGCUGAUGGCACGACUAGAAAGAAGGGUAUCGGUGCUCAGCCGAUCUUCCAGACUCGCUUUCGACACCCGGUACUCGAACUCCCCUGCGUAACAACCAAAACAUUGCAAUAAGCCUGUGACUUUACAAAUGAAUCCUGAUGUUUCUAGCCUGCAUUGAUGUUUGAUGCCGUAACUAGGGCUUAAAGGUGUUGCACAUUGUAAUCCAUCAUAGGUUGAGACUAAUCCCUAAAGAUAAGGCUUUAGAUUUUCUGCGGUUAAGUUUCUAGCUGCUCAGUAGACUAACUUUAUGGCAUCUGCAGUGAACCGAAAAAGAAUAAAGCCAUCAUUGGCACCAACCCUGUUAAAAAAAUUAAUGCAUCAAGGCCUACUGCAUCAUGCUAGUGGCAUAGUAAUCAUUCUAUCAGUAACAAAAAGGCACUCCAAUACAGCUGUAAGCGCUAUGAGCACCCACUUUAUAUAAUCGUUCUACUAGGUUGGCAUAUGUCCUAGCUUGGCAAGGGUGAGCCAAACCACCGACAGUAUAGUUUAACUUUUGAUAGUUACAAGAUUGACACAAGAUCAGAUGCAUUUCUUUGACCUUGUACUAUUUAAUUAGAAAACUUUACAAUAUUCAGUUAAAUUAAAGAGUUAUAGCAUUAACAGAAAAGGAUACCACAAAGAAAGCUUAUACCUUUUUUAUUCUUGACAUCUAUGUACCCAUCUUUAUUUAUUCUCUGCAUGAAAUUCUUCCCAAGGCGGCCGUCAAUACCUCGCUCUAAUGCAAAUCGGCCAGAAAUGUUCACAAUAAUGGGGACAUCAUGGUACUUGGAAGCAUACAGAAGCACAGCAUUUCCUCCUGAAGGUAAGGAAUACAACUAAUAAGACCAUAUAAUGUCAAUUGCGUUGUCAAUUACUCACAAAGAUGAAAACACAUCAUGAGAAAAGGAAUGUCAUGCAAACUUGGCCAAGUAUUUUGAACAAUAGGAAUAAUGUCAAGUCUGAAAUUAUUCUCCUGCAAGCAAUAGUGGCACCAAAAUUUAAGGGAUAUCAGAAUACAUAUACAUGGCAGGUAUGGCACACUAAACUACUAAAAUGAUUACUUUCAGUUGUAGUGAAUGUUCCUCAACUCGACCUUCCAUGAAGCAACAAAAUCUCAGUACUUCAACUUUGCAUCCCUACCUAAUUCUGAUGGAAACUAUGCAUGCUAAUGCAAUUCUCAGCAUGAACAUACACUUUAUUGUGCAUAAUUGGAAUCAACACAAAAGGAGAACUUAGUGGAUAUAAACAGUGUUUGGAUAUGUCAACAGCUUACAUACCUUU
rnacentral:lncRNA from 1 species